rnacentral:lncRNA from 1 species
UUUAAAGAAACAUUAGAGAAUAAGAAAGAAGUAUCCGAGCUCCUCCAUCGCCAAUUCCAGAGGCGCCGAUCCAAUGGGUCCCGCUCAACAACGUCCCUCCGGUGAGAUUCAUGUCAUCGUGGGCCCCAUGUUGGCCAGCAAAAUCACCGCUCUUUUCGUCAUGUCAAAUCUGAAUCUGCCACUGAUAGAGGUAACUACGAAUGACAUAGAAAAAAUCUGAUCAGGUAUGGUUUUCGUGCGUUACAACUAAUUAAAGGUACAAACAUGAUCUCUUUUUCAAGCACAUCUCUUUUUCUUUCAUUACUACUUCUGUUCGAUUUCGAUAUGUCCAUUUUAUUCCGUCAUCUUGUUUUGAUUUAUAAGUAUAUCGAUUUUUUCUGAUUCUAAUAAUAUGAGAUGAUUGAUUUGGUAAAAAGUUCAAAAUUAUGUAGAUUUGGGAUUAGAAUUAGGAUUUUGAUUUAUCAUUUAGAUUUGUUUUACGUUUUAAUCUAUGUGCUUUUUAUGCAUUUAUUUUGAUUUAGACACACGAUCUAAUUCUUAUAAAUCACAACCUGUAAGAACUCUUUAAAAUCUUUGUUGGUGGUGGUGCUGGUGGUGUAGCGGUGGUUAUUGGUUGUAAUGGUGGCUGAAUUCGUUACAUUUUUGAAUCCAUAAUUUAUUAUGAUCGCUUGAUUUCAGGAAAUAAUUUAAUUUUAAAUCAAAUUGGCUUUAAUUACGGGAUCCCUUUUAUCGAUUAUUCUUUAUUUGUCUUUGGCAGCUUUAAUUAUAAUAGUUACGUUUCAAAUUGUGAUUGGAUAAAUAUUAUUUAUGAAUAUUGAGUACCAUUUAUGGGGUCAUUAUUGAUGACUUUAUUGUCCGUUAAUGGCUUUUAGUGCCAUUUUUAUGGCUCGUGUUACCAUUUUGAUGGUCAUUAAAUAUAAUAUAUUUCAUUAUGUUUUAAACUCAAUUUUAUUUCUCAGCUAAAUUGUUUAAUUUUUACGUGUCUAACCAGAGGAUUUUCCUUUGGUUAGAUAUUAAUUAAUACAUACAUUAUUUUUUCCUCUCUAUUUUUGAUAUACAUAUUCUCUUAUAUUUUUUGCUUUUUAUUAAAUUUACUAUCAGAAACCUCGGAGACCACGUAUGUUAAGCGAUCAAAACAAUAUAAAAUACAUUUUUUUGUGAAGUAUGUUAAACAAAUAUCAUGUAUUUAUUAAUUUUGUUGA